GAUGAAGAACGUAGCGAAAUGCGAUACGUAAUGUGAAUUGCAGAAUUCAGUGAAUCAUCGAGUCUUUGAACGCACAUUGCGCCCCCUGGUAUUCCGGGGGGCAUGCCUGUCCGAGCGUCAUUGCUGCCCUCAAGCACGGCUUGUGUGUUGGGCCUCCGUCCUCCUCCCGGGGGACGGGCCCGAAAGGCAGCGGCGGCACCGCGUCCGGUCCUCGAGCGUAUGGGGCUUCGUCACCCGCUCUUUAGGCCCGGCCGGCGCUUGCCGACACAUCAAUCUUUUUUCCAGGUUGACCUCGGAUCAGGUAGGGAUACCCGCUGAACUUAAGCAUAUCAAUAAGCGGAGGA
rnacentral:misc_RNA from 1 species